rnacentral:lncRNA from 1 species
UGUUAACAUUCAAGAUAUAAUCAAAAAUUGAUUGAUUUUUGAGUUUUUUUUUUAUAUUUCUUUUGAGUGUUGAAGAUACUGAAAGUAAAGAGGUCUUAUAAAAAAAAAAUUGUCUAAGGCCCAUUACUAUAGAGUCAAUCCUAUCCAAAAAAUAAUGGCACAUGGAGACUGAAAGGGAUAAAAGAAGUAUUUGAAAUGUAUUAUAUGAAUUUAAUUAUUUUAUCUUUUAUUUACUUGUCUUUUAUGUAAUUUAUAAAAUUUAUAUUUAUGCCGAUAUUGAUACCAAAUUUUAGUCACGACAUUAUAUAUUCUUUCUAUCAAUAACCAUUUAAUGGCUCAACCAAUUUAUUUAUUGUGAUUAAUGGAACUGUAUGCCACAAUAAUUGCGCACAGCCAACUCAUGUACAUGUGUAACAUAAUUUAUAGACGUUCACUAGGACAAAUAAUUUAGGUAGAGACGAGAAAAUUGUUUUCUAAUAACAAAAUACUUUAAAUAAUUUAGUACCUUAAAUGAUGUUAUAUGGCCGGGUCAUUGGGUUUACAUGUGAUACUAUGUGACAUAAGCUAAAUAUGUUUUAUGUGUUUCAAAUGCUAUUGUUUUGUUAAAAGGAUGUAAAUGGCUUUAUGAUGAUGUGAUUUAUUUUAGCUAAAUGAUAAUUUACAAAGGUUAUUUCUCUUAUUGUUAUGUAUAUCUAAGAAGUUUUAUUAAAUUAUAUUAUAAUAGUUUUUAGUAUUGUGCAUAAAUUUACUUACCGAGUUGACGGCUCACCUUUUAUUAUAGACUUAGAUGAUGUGAGCUCAUGGUCUUAGGAGGGAGAAUAAGAGCUCUGUUUAUUUUGGGGAUUGUUGUUACGUUGAUAAUUUAAGAAUAAUUUAACUUCCUUUAGAGGUUCAGAACAUUUAUUGUUAGUUACUACUUUGAAAGUCUUAAAUAUGAGAAUAAUGAAAUGCAGUUUUACUUCAAUUCUAUCAUAGUGUCUUGUUAGUGGGAUUGGGGUGUUACAAUAUGGCUCAUCGCUUCUAGGCAGAAGUCGGCUUUCCAGCAUGAAAACUUUAGGGAAUAGAGUUCGUGUAAUGCAAUUAUCACACGUAAAUUUUUCUGUUAAAUAGCUGUAAGUUACAUUUAUAAAGUCUUGUUCAGUAUUAGAUGUGUGGCUUAAGAACUACUAUUAUCAUUAAAAAAAAAGUUGUAAUUAUAAAUAAAAAAUUAAUAAUACAAUAAAUAUAAUUUUACCAUUAAAAAUUAAAAACUACACCUAGCUGAGUACAGUAUCGAACAGACUCUAAUAAGUCUUGUCUCCCACAAAGUUUUUUGUUUUGGUCAAAUAUAGAUUCUAUAAGUUCUCGGUGGCAAAAACUUUAAUUUUUCGGUUACAUCAUAAAUUGCAUUAAAUGCAUAAAUAGUUCAGUUGAAGGAAGCCAACUGCCAAUAAUAAUAGGUUGUUCCCAGCUAACAUCCAACCCGUCAUCCAAAUUUAAUAAUUUCUUACUUAAAUGUCUCUGACACCUUAAUCAAAGCGCGGGUAUCGAACGAAGCGGGCAAUAAUCAAAUCAAACGAUUUCCAAAUUCACCAGAAAUGUAAAAAGAAAACAAAGCGAGUUCUCAUGUUCUUAAAUAUCACAUGGGUUACACGUGUUGUUCUGAUGAAGAUUUGGUGUCACCUGUACAUUUGUUUCAACGUACAGACAUCAACAUAAGAUAAGCAUUCAAUCCUACUCACUUUCUUUCACCUAACAUUUUCUCCAAAUUCAUUCAACAAUUGUGGUGGAGAUUGGUGCGGCGGUAAACCUACCUACCGCACUACAAAUGCCAUGCAAAUACAGAGUACAAUAUAUCGAUUGCAAAAUAGCGAUGGGAGAUUGCCAAUUUUUUUUCGACUGAAAUUUAAUUUCCGACGUUAUAAUUUUGCAGUACUACUUUAUUCUAAAUAAACUUUUAUUCGUAUUUCUUAAAAAUUACAUAAAUCGAAUAUGUUGAAAUUAAAAUAAAAAAUGUUAAAUACUAAAAAUAAGAAAAAUUAUUAUUUUUAUUUUCUAUUUUUUCUAAAGGUGAGACUAUUUGCACUUUAAGAAUUACUCUAAACACUCUUUUAUUUUAUAAAUUUUAUAUUACAAAAACACCCAUAGUUUAAUUUACCAUUAAGGACAAUUUUGUGUGAUUAAAUAAAUACAUUAUUCUUUAGCCUUUCGUUAAAUCAGCAUAAACUCUUACUUUAUGUUUCUAAUUUCUUUGAUAUGCUUCUUGAAGUCCCCAUUAUAAUCAAUUUUAAACUAUUAUACUACUUAAAUACAUUUUACAAUGAGAAGUUUGGUUUUCUUCAUGGGUUGCCCUACUGGUGCUGUUCUUGAAACUAUCGAACUUAAUAAUUUUAUGGCCAAAUAAUAUACGUUGAAUCAACUUUUACCUCGAAUUCUACCACAAUAAAAAUCAUACUUGUAAUAUCUCAAGGUUCCAAUUUAUCAAAAGUUAAUAUUUCAUAUUUGUUAGUUCCUAACAGUCACAAGAGCAUACCAGCCAAUUUUUGUAGCACCUUUUUCUGCAGUAGGUUCAAGUAUAUUAUUAUCAAGCGGUUUUUUACACACUUAAUCCCUUAUCAUCGUCCCUUCAUUUAGAGCAACUAAACAGAGGUCAAUGCCAUUGUGUCAGAGUUACGAGGAAGAGUAUUGUCGAAUAAGUUCUUGAUAUGGAAUUUAAUUUUCCGAGUUUGUAGUGAUGAGCAAAUUGAGGGUUAUUUUGGCAUUUUUAAGAGUGUAUUGAGUAAAAUUAUUUUUAAAAAAUUUAACAAGUGAGUGUUAUAAGUAAAAGUGUGUUCAAAGUAUUUUUUAGAGUGUAAAUAGACUCAUCUUAUUAAAAAAAUAUAAAAUUUAGGUACCCAAAUUAAAUUUUGACACAAUUCAACCCGGAUAUCUAUGCAUUCAAGUCGGGUCUGAUCAUUGCGAUACCCGGACCCGCCCCGGGUUUUGCUAACCCUAGCAAAGACUAAGAAAGUAAGAAUGGGUAUCACCGACAAAUUCAUCUAAUCGCUGGUAAAAAGUCGUUGGUUUUCACGUGCUCCAUUCGACUUAUGGCACAUGAAAAAUGAAGCCCUUUUCAAAAAAAAAAAUGAAGCCAAGUGGGGCCGAAGAGGAAAAAGAUACGUACGACGUACUAUUACACUAGUUUGUCUUCAGUUUCACGUGCUCCAUAAUUUAAAGUGUUAAUAUUCUUCUUCUCUUCUAUAAAAAUGACACCGCCAUAUUUAAAAUCUAUUAAUUUAUCUUAAAGUCUUGAGCGUUUAUGUCGUGUGUAUAUGAAUUUGGAUUUCAUGCUUAUUUAAGUUGUCUUCAUUUUUUAAAGAUCUGCUUAAGGAAAAAAAAAAACAUUUACUACUAAACCACAUUGAUGUUUUCAUUAUACUCCACGGAUGUUUUGGUUAUAGAUUAAAGUAGGGAAAAUCUCCGGUUUACCAUUCGCCUUCUCAGAAAAAAAUCAUAUUCUUAAAAAAAAUUUGAUGCUCAACAAAUCUAUUAUCAGAACUAUUUCCAUAAAUUCACUUUUUAAGAAAUUUUAUGUUUCAUGAGGUGUAAUACGAUUAAUUAAUACAUGAAUAAUGUGCGUAAUUGAAUUGAAUAUAACCACUAAUUACGUAUUGAUUUUUUAAAAUAAAAAUACACAUAUUAUAAUAUUAUACGCUUAUUAUUUGACUAACAUAGUGGCUGGGACGUAUUCUAAAAUUUUUUUAAUUGUGAUAUUAAAAUUAAUAAUUAAAAUUUAUUAAUCAAUUAGCUCAUUAAAUGAACUAGCAAUAUGGUCGACAUCAUUUCUCAGGUCAUAGUACGGGGAUUUUGCCCUUCGUUAGUCAUAUUUUCUCAAUUUAUAAAGAAUAAUUCUAAUUGGCAGAUCAACAGAUUUCAUUAUCUUCCUUCCAAUUUGAAAAAAAAUAUAUUACAUGGACAAAUUUUGCCCUUAAAUUACCUCUUACCUCUUUUACCAUCUGUUCUAAUAAAUUGAAAGAAUCAAUCGGCCAAUCUGUCAACCUACUAUAUUUGCGUUAGCUUUCCUUUUCAAACAAUUUAACCAUCUCUAAACUUCCAAACUCAAUCAAAUCAAAUGAACAAUUCCAAUUUCCUAAUUCGUGUUGUUCUAGUUAUGAGUGAUUGGGUUACGAUUCGUUCGAUUUGGAGAAUUCAAUCGAAUUAAAAUUCUAAUUGUGAACUUGAAAUAAUCCAGUUUGUUUUGAAUUAAAAUUUCAAAUUAUUAAAUAUAUGUACCAAAAGUAUAAGUACAGAAAAUAAAUAAAUAAAUAAAAUACAAAAAAAAAGAUAAAUAAAAAAGAAUGGAAAAAAACAACUCCACAAUAUCAGUAAAUAGCACCAUGAGGUCAUCAAGACCACCAUCAUUCAUCCCCUUUUCUCCAUCUUUCUUAAUCUCUGAGGACCACUGAAUUUGUAAAUUUGUACAAUUUCUAGUUAAAAAAAUAAUAAUAAUCGCAUUACUCAUUUUCAAUCCAUGAAACAAAUUCAUAAAAUUGUUUGUCUGCCUAGUCAUUGCGAAGGACCACCUCAUGCGUAAUGCAUCUCCCCGGACCACUAAACUUGGUACACACACCAUACAGUUCUGGCUAUUUCACGUGCGUCCAAGGACCAAAUGUAUAUUUUAUAAAAUAUUUUUUUAUGUCAUUGUACAUUUGCUUUGUUUAAUUUGGAAGGAUUUGAUUUUUAAAAAGACAGACGCCUACAGAAGGGCUUUCAUUCAAUUCAAUUCCUAUUAGUCCAGUAAUUAAAAAAUAAUUGAGUGGAAGUAAUUAAAAAUUAUCAGAAUUAUCACGCAAUUACACUUUGGUAAACUGUUCAUACCAGUCAAAGUCACAUCAUUCACUUUGUCACUUUCGUUUUGUUUUCUUUUUGUUAUGUAAAUUGUGAAAGGAAAGUUUUGAUUGGCAAAGCAUUUAAUUUAGGGUCCAGCGACUAUAUCCAUGGGUUUGAUACCCAUUCUCUUGUCAUUUUCAAAAUCCACCGUUGAAUUUAACUUAAGGGUUGUAUAAUGGCUAAAUGUGAUUAUUGGGUCAUUAAUGUUAAAAGUCGUUGUUCAUGUAAAAUAAGAAAAAUUAAAAAUUUUACGAUCAUGACAUAUAA